rnacentral:rRNA from 1 species
UACGUAGGGCGCAAGCGUUGUCCGGAAUUAUUGGGCGUAAAGAGCUCGUAGGCGGCCAGAUAAGUCCGGUGUGAAAGUCACAGGCUCAACCUGUGAAUGCCGCUGGAAACUGUCUGGCUAGAGUCCGGAAGGGGCGAGUGGAAUUCCUGGUGUAGGCGGUGAAAUGCGCAGAUAUCAGGAGGAACACCAAUAGCGAAGGCAGCUCGCUGGGACGUUACUGACACUGAGGCGCGAAAGCGUGGGGAGCGAACAGG